rnacentral:tRNA from 1 species
GGGGCCGUAGCUCAGUUGGGAGAGCGCCUGGUUUGCAACCAGGAGGUAGCGGGUUCGAACCCCGUCGGCUCCA